rnacentral:rRNA from 1 species
CAGUCGCCGCGGUAAAACGUAGGGUGCGAGCGUUAAUCGGAAUUACUGGGCGUAAAGCGUGCGCAGGCGGUUCGUUAAGACAGAUGUGAAAUCCCCGGGCUUAACCUGGGAACUGCAUUUGUGACUGGCGAGCUAGAGUAUGGCAGAGGGGGGUAGAAUUCCACGUGUAGCAGUGAAAUGCGUAGAGAUGUGGAGGAAUACCGAUGGCGAAGGCAGCCCCCUGGGCCAAUACUGACGCUCAUGCACGAAAGCAUGGGGAGCAAACAGGAUUAGAUACCCGGGUAGUCCCUGUCUCUUAUAC